GCAUGUUGUUUUUAAAGAUCAGUCUACGGCUCAUCUAAAUGUUGUUGUUGUUGUUGUUGCCUUCUUUUCAUCUUGUGUUAUUGGGUCUUUGUGUUACUGCUCAUCUAUUCGACGCAGAAACUUGAACUUGGAUGCCAUCAUAGAGGGGCUGCCUGCCGUGCGUUCAUAUCUCAUGGCCUCCCUCACUUUCUUCAGCAGCUUAGGCAAGUCGAUUUCCAAUACCUCGAGGACAAAAUUGCUAAUAAACUUGUGUGCCUUGGGAGGGCAUUCACAUCACCUCGGUCAACACUUAUCAGGUCAUACACCACCACCGCUGAUGCCCN
rnacentral:lncRNA from 1 species